AAAUGCACCCUCCGAUCACUUGAAAAGAGAGAACAAUCAUUAGGUCACAUUAACUUCAGGUGAAUCCCCUGCUUAUCUGCUCCCGUACCCUCCCUCCAUUCACAAACCGCCGCUCGGCCACGCCCCCGCCCUCUCGACGUAAAUCAGGAUUCCUCUGGUGACAAAUCAACGGCUGGCCACUCCUUAAGAUCAUCUACCAGUCUCGCUGGGCUAGGCUCGCCAUCUCGGUUCAUCCAGACUUUCUAGUACUCCAAAAAAAAAAAAAAAAACAAUCUGCACAAACGUUGACCUGGUCUGUGGCUGCAGUAUUAGGAUCCCAUAUGCUGCGCCAAACUCUCAUGGAUGGAUGGAUAGACACCACUGCAGCUUGUAUGAGUAUGUUUCACCUAAAGGACUAAUGUGAGGUUACGUACAGUGACAUCAUGAACAGGAGGCUAUAAGGAAACGUGGUGGAGAUGUCGCUAUCUUCGAUAGCGUAAGAAGUGCUCACAGGGAUGCAGGGAGUGUGGCCUGAAGAUUCAGCAUCUUGUUCACUCAGGAAAACAGGGUUACAUAUGAACACUUUCUUCAGCUGCAUCAACACUGCUUUGGGAACAAGUGUUCAAUCAUGACAGACUGACCAAGCCAUACCUAGUGUGGAUGGGCACAGCUAGGUCAAAGGACAGAGGGGUCAGGAGUGGCACAGAGGUCGAGGCUAUAGAACCUGCAAGGGUCAGUGGGGUGGACCAGCCCACAGCAUUGUAAAUGUCUUGGAGGGAAACUCCAGAGGACAAGGCCUUAGUGGCUGCCACAUUUCGAGUGGAGUGCACUCUGACCUCGAAGG